UCCAAUACUUUUGAUGCUAAAUUGGCACCAGGAGACAUGUUCAACGCAUUCUUAAUUCGCCCUCGACAAUAAAGUAGGACUACUAGAUUCUUGACUUUGCAAUUCAGCCACGUUGGUGGUCUGAUAAAAAAGAAUAUUUUAUCAGAGUUAUUGCUGGCACCAGCCAACGUGGGCGAGCAACAUUGUUUGGUCAAUCUCAAGAGAACGGUUGCAAGGCGAGAAUACACGGUGCUAUUUACAGUAAGGAUGCUGCAUCGUGGAGAAAAAUUUAGUCAGUAAAACAGCUAAAAUUAUUGGAGCAACUGGUGUUGUAAAACAUUGCCCCUACAAAGCGUUGCGAAUAACGUUGCGCAUUGGUGAGGGGACUGGAGGAGAGAGGACUAUUGGAAGGAACGGAUGUCAUAUUGUUGCGCACAAUCAAAAUAGUAAAUUUUUUCAUACAUGCAUUGAAAGGAACUAUAUUUAACAUAAAUUUAGGGCUCAGUGAGUCCCUGAAAAGCAAGAUUAAAUAUGUAAUCCAAAA